rnacentral:misc_RNA from 2 species
GAACGCACAUUGCGCCUUCUGGUAUUCCGGGAGGCAUGCCUGUUCGAGAGUCAUUGACACAAACCACGUCGUCGACCCUCACCUUUCUAAAGGGGGGUGGGGGGUCGUCGGCGGUCCUGGUGGAUGAGGGGGGGGAAUAGUUGGCAAAUAUAUAUAAUAAUCUCCUCCCCACCGAAAUUGAGAGGCAGUCUGUGAGUGAUAAAAACCCACACAUGUUCGUUUAUGGCGUUGUAUAGACGGCUCUCAAAUUGUGGAGCCAACUCUGUUCGCUUGUAACAAACUUCCCUGGGUCUUACCUCGACUAGCCUUCCAAAGUUCCUAAAAUCUCAAGGGUUUGACCUCGGAUCAGGUAGGGAUACCCGCUGAACUUAAG